GACGAACGCUGGCGGCGUGCCUAAUACAUGCAAGUUGAGCGCUGAAGGUUGGUACUUGUACCAACUGGAUGAGCAGCGAACGGGUGAGUAACGCGUGGGGAAUCUGCCUUUGAGCGGGGGACAACAUUUGGAAACGAAUGCUAAUACCGCAUAAAAACUUUAAACACAAGUUUUAAGUUUGAAAGAUGCAAUUGCAUCACUCAAAGAUGAUCCCGCGUUGUAUUAGCUAGUUGGUGAGGUAAAGGCUCACCAAGGCGAUGAUACAUAGCCGACCUGAGAGGGUGAUCGGCCGCCUUGGGACUGGGACACGGCCCAAACUCCUACGGGAGGCAGCCGUAGGGAAUCGUCGGCCAUGGGCGAAAGUCUGACCGAGAAACGCCGCGGGAGUGAAGAGGGUUUUCGGAUCGUAAAACUCUGUUGGUAGAGAAGAACGUUGGUGAGCGUGGAAAGAUCAUCAAGUGACGGUAACUACCCAGAAAGGGACGGCUAACUACGUG
rnacentral:rRNA from 1 species